rnacentral:rRNA from 1 species
AUGAACGCUGGCGGCGUGCCUAAUACAUGCAAGUCGAGCGAACAGACGAGGAGCUUGCUCCUCUGACGUUAGCGGCGGACGGGUGAGUAACACGUGGAUAACCUACCUAUAAGACUGGGAUAACUUCGGGAAACCGGAGCUAAUACCGGAUAAUAUAUUGAACCGCAUGGUUCAAUAGUGAAAGACGGUUUUGCUGUCACUUAUAGAUGGAUCCGCGCCGCAUUAGCUAGUUGGUAAGGUAACGGCUUACCAAGGCAACGAUGCGUAGCCGACCUGAGAGGGUGAUCGGCCACACUGGAACUGAGACACGGUCCAGACUCCUACGGGAGGCAGCAGUAGGGAAUCUUCCGCAAUGGGCGAAAGCCUGACGGAGCAACGCCGCGUGAGUGAUGAAGGUCUUCGGGUCGUAAAACUCUGUUAUUAGGGAAGAACAAAUGUGUAAGUAACUAUGCACGUCUUGACGGUACCUAAUCAGAAAGCCACGGCUAACUACGU